UACAGAGGUGGCGAGCGUUGUUCGGAUUUACUGGGCGUAAAGGGCGCGUAGGCGGCCGUGUGUGUCGGGUGUGAAAUCCAUGGGCUCAACCCAUGAAGUGCGCCCGAAACUGCACGGCUCGAGUUCGGGAGGGGGGAUCGGAAUACAGGGUGUAGCGGUGAAAUGCGUUGAUAUCCUGUAGAACACCGGUGGCGAAGGCGGAUCCCUGGAACGACACUGACGCUGAGGCGCGAAAGCAGGGGGAGCAAAC
rnacentral:rRNA from 1 species